GCCCAGAGGAGGCAAGCAUGGGCGCCGCGCCAUGGAGAGGAUUGCACGUCCCGGGGGGCAGCGCGGGCUGACUCGGGGCAGAGGUUACAGACUCUCGCACGCCCCAGAAAGCUCGGGAAAAAUCCAUGGCCUGAAAAACCAAUUCAAGUUUCACGACCUGCCAGGGUGCCGGCCGAGCCUGCCCGACAGAGGGAGCAGGCAGCCCUGGAAAUGGGGGUGCAGGAGCAGGCAGAGAGGCGGGUCACAUGCCGGCACCGUGGGGCCAAGCUGCUGCAGAGGGGUUCCCGGGGACGUCCGGAAGCGAAACCCUGAGAAAGGAGGCUCACACUGUGCCCCAGAUUGGCUUCCCGAGCAACCUCCCUUCUCCGGGCCUCAGUUUCCCCUUCUGCAACACAGCGAUCACCCCCGAGCAACUCUGGCUUGGUGUGGUAGGAACUGGGCACCACCAGCUGUGCACACUGUGAAGUAGGGGGAGGGGGGUCUGCGGGCGUCGCCCGCCGUAACCGUGACGACGACGGCUGUGAAAGGCGCCGGCUGUUCCUGGACCGGCGCAGUGUGUUUGCGGCUGUUGUGUGACACCCACACCCCACCAGACUUGUUUUCAAACGGCGUUUUGCUAGCCAGGCCGAACGCGGCUGCGUUCCUGCGAGCGUGCCAGCCUCUCCCUUCUCCCUGCCAACCUCGGGGGUGGCGCUGUGGCUUCCAAAAUCUCAUUACCGCCACCAUUUCCCGUCCUCCGCCGCUCCCUCCUCUCCUGCCCUCUCUCCCCCACUCUCUCUCCUUUCGGAGGAUAAAUUUCUGUAGCAGCCAAUUACAGCCGUUUGAUGUGCGUAAUGAUGGAACCGUGGAAAUUGGAACUGGCACCUCGGAGGACAGCGGAGGGGGAAGAAACGCAACGUACAUGAAUCAAGCGUUUUCUUGGAGUUUUCUCCCAUUGCCAACGAUUUGCUGGGGCCCGGACUCAAAGCUCGGGCCGCGGGCGGCGGGGGGCGCGGUGGGGCUGGGAGCUCUGGGCCAGCCGCGCCUGCUCCUAAGCACCGAUCAAUUACGGCGCAGACAAGCCGGUGUCACAUGUGAUUCACAAUGUCAAUUUCAUGCUCGUGGUAACCAUUUAAGAAAGAGCCGGGCCGGUUUUACAUUUGAUAAGAAAUCAGCAGCGUUUGUGUUUGUAAAAAGACCGAUCACAGAGUGUGACAGGUCCCAGACAUUGCCAGGCGGCGUCGACGGCCCGUCUGGAGUCUGUCAGAGACUCACAAGUAUUUAUUUCAAAUGGGUUCCCCCCGUCCCCGCCGCCCCCCUCGAGCCGGGACGUGAAAAUAAACUGUCAGUCUCUAUUUACAGCUGUACAAGCUGGAAAUACAGAGAAUUUUAGGUUAAAUUGUCAGUUAACAGAAUUCAAAAUAGAAAAAAGAAAUGGGCCCGGCCGGCUUUAUUGCCCGUUUUGAUAGGAAAAGUCAUCUGUGGGUUUGGAGGGUGGAAGGAGCCCCCGGGGGGGAGAGGUGGGCUGCGCCCUGGGCCCAGGAAGGCCUGAGAAGGCCCAGCUAGAGGACUUCCCGGUGCUGGCGAGAAUCAGGGCAGUCUUAGGGCUAAUUAGGCCGGAGACGGGGCUAAUAGAGCUGGUGUCCCUGCCCGGGCCCUGCUCCCUGACAAUUUGCCCAUUUAGCGUCUUCAGGAGCGUAGGCACGGCUAAUCCGGCCAGGAGGACCUCCUUGGACGCACAGCUUCUGCUAGGAAGACAGAGCUGCCUCCCGCCUGCUCUCCCGACUCAGGGUCUGGCCCGAGGCUCUGCUGCCC
rnacentral:lncRNA from 1 species